GACGAACGCUGGCGGCGUGCUUAACACAUGCAAGUCGAACGGAAAGGCCUGCUUUCCCUUGUGGAUUGCGGGUACUCGAGUGGCGAACGGGUGAGUAACACGUGAGUGAUCUGCCCCCAACUUGGGUAUAAGCCUGGGAAACUGGGUCUAAUUCCCGAUAGGACUGCAGGGUGGUGCCUGUGGUGGAAAACGAUGUGCUAGUGGUUGGGGAUGAGCUCGCGGCCUAUCAGCGGGUUGGUGGGGUAAGGGCCUACCAAGGCGACGACGGGUAGCGGGUGUGGGAGUGUGAGCGGGCACGGUGGAAUUGGGACACAGUCCAGACUCCGACUGGUGCGGGCGGUGGGGGUGGGGGAACUUGGGCAGUGAGCGGGAGCCUGCUGCAGCGCGGGGGUGUGGAGGGUCAUGGCGUUCGGGUUGUCUUCUCCUUUCGAACGAGAGGAGGACGCCUGGUUGGAAGGGUGGUGACGGUAGUGGUAGAAGAAGCACCGGCUAACUACGUG
rnacentral:rRNA from 1 species